UACGGAAGGCAGCAGUGGGGAAUAUUGCACAAUGGGCGAAAGCCUGAUGCAGCUAUGCCGCGUGUAUGAAGAAGGCCUUAGGGUUGUAAAGUACUUUCAUCGGGGAGGAAAAACAAAACUAAUAAUUUUAUUUCUUGACGUUACCCGAAAAAGAAGCACCGGCUAACUCCGUGCCAGCAGCCGCGGUAAUACGGAGGGUGCGAGCGUUAAUCGGAAUUACUGGGCGUAAAGGGCACGCAGGCGGUUAAUUAAGUUGGAUGUGAAAUCCCCGGGCUUAACCUGGGAAUGGCAUUCAAGACUGGUUAGCUAGAGUCUUGUAGAGGGGGGUUAGAAUUCCAUGUGUAGCGGUGAAAUGCGUAGAGAUGUGGAGGAAUACCGGUGGCGAAGGCGGCCCCUGGACAAAGACUGACGCUCAUGUGCGAAAGGCGUGGGGAGCGAAACAGGGAUUAGAUACC
rnacentral:rRNA from 1 species